GAAGACUCUGCCACAAAGCUUUUCGUCUGCCACAUCUUCCAAGACAAAAGAUCUUUCGCUGGGUAUAUAAGAUAUGUUGGGGAAACAAGAUCCGCUGGGGAGACUUGAAACAAAAAUAUUCAGGAAUCAAAGCCCAAAAUACCAUCAAUGGGGUUACUUCAUAUUUAUAGAUUUGGAUUUGCUUGUUUCUCAAGCAAAUCCCAAAAUGCCUAAUUCUGAUAACACUAUAAAAUUAGACCUAACUUGAAAUUCCUGUCGAGGUACACUACUUUGACGUUUUGAC
rnacentral:lncRNA from 1 species